UGGAAGUUUCAUCACAGUCAC
rnacentral:snRNA from 1 species